rnacentral:rRNA from 1 species
CCUACGGAGGCAGCAGUGGGGAAUAUUGGACAAUGGGCGAAAGCCUGAUCCAGCCAUGCCGCGUGUGUGAAGAAGGCCUUCGGGUUGUAAAGCACUUUCAGUGGGGAAGAAAGCCUUGGGGCUAAUACCCUCGAGGAAGGACAUCACCCACAGAAGAAGCACCGGCUAACUCCGUGCCAGCAGCCGCGGUAAUACGGAGGGUGCGAGCGUUAAUCGGAAUUACUGGGCGUAAAGCGCGCGUAGGCGGUCUGAUAAGCCGGUUGUGAAAGCCCCGGGCUCAACCUGGGAACGGCAUCCGGAACUGUCAGGCUAGAGUGCAGGAGAGGAAGGUAGAAUUCCCGGUGUAGCGGUGAAAUGCGUAGAGAUCGGGAGGAAUACCAGUGGCGAAGGCGGUCUUCUGGACUGACACUGACGCUGAGGUGCGAAAGCGUGGGUAGCAAACAGGAUUAGAUACCCCUGUAGUC